AACAUACUCUCUCCGUCCCAUAUUAAGUCCCGAAAUAUUACAUGUAUAUAUACGUAUUUUAGUGUAUAGAUACGUAUAUAUUUAAAUAAAUUUGAGUCACUUAAUAUGGAACGGAGGGAGUAUAUG
rnacentral:pre_miRNA from 1 species